UGGGGAAUAUUGCACAAUGGGCGCAAGCCUGAUGCAGCCAUGCCGCGUGUAUGAAGAAGGCCUUCGGGUUGUAAAGUACUUUCAGCGGGGAGGAAGGGAGUAAAGUUAAUACCUUUGCUAAUUGACGUUACCCGCAGAAGAAGCACCGGCUAACUCCGUGCCAGCAGCCGCGGUAAUACGGAGGGUGCAAGCGUUAAUCGGAAUUACUGGGCGUAAAGCGCACGCAGGCGGUUUGUUAAGUCAGAUGUGAAAUCCCCGGGCUCAACCUGGGAACUGCAUCUGAUACUGGCAAGCUUGAGUCUCGUAGAGGGGGGUAGAAUUCCAGGUGUAGCGGUGAAAUGCGUAGAGAUCUGGAGGAAUACCGGUGGCGAAGGCGGCCCCCUGGACGAAGACUGACGCUCAGGUGCGAAAGCGUGGGGAGCAAACAGG
rnacentral:rRNA from 1 species